AUGUCGUUUUUUCGGUCUGAGGUUUUUGCACGACCACUCAGCCAGUUUGUUUCACUGUGGUGGACGUUCGGUGGAGGAACCAGACUGGAUGUUGGAAGUGAUGCUCGUCCCACCCUGACGGUGCUGCCUCCCUCCAGGGAGGAGCUGCAGCAGGAGAAGGUCACGCUCACGUGUCUGGCCAACAAGGGCUUCCCCUCAGACUGGACUCUGUCCUGGAAGCUGGACGGCAGCAGCAGCAGCAGCAGCAGCAGCAGCAGCAUCAGCGGUAGCAGCAGCUGGGAGGAGAGCAGGAGUCUGGCGGUUCAGGGUCCAGACGGCCUCUACAGCUGGAGCAGCAGCCUGAGGAUCCCUGCAGAGCAGUGGAGGGUGGUGGGCUCAGUGAGCUGUGAGGCCUCCCAGGGCUCCCUCAGUCCGGUCACAGAGACCCUGAGACCAGACCGUUGUUUCUAGUCCUGACCCGACUCCUUGUUUCUCACUUUGCUGCUGCUCAAUUUGUUCUCUGCCUUUCUCUCUCUCUCUUUGACAUGUUUGUAUGAUUAAACUGACAUAAUAUCAUAAAACUGCAUCUUGCUUUUAGGCAAUAAAAAAAACUUAUUGAACAUGGACA